rnacentral:rRNA from 1 species
UACGUAGGCAGCGAGCGUUGUUCGGAGUUACUGGGCGUAAAGAGUGCGUAGGCGGUUUUCUAAGUUUGGUGUGAAAUCUCCCGGCUCAACUGGGAGGGUGCGCCGAAGACUGGAAGGCUUGAGUAUGGGAGAGGUAAGCGGAAUUCCUGGUGUAGCGGUGAAAUGCGUAGAGAUCCGGAGGAACACCAGUGGCGAAGGCGACACGCUGGGCCGUACCUGACACUGAUGCGCGACAGCAUGGGGAGCAAACAGG